CUUUUUUUCCAGGAAAAUGUCCUUUGAAACAAUUUGAAUAUUUCAUUAAUUUAACUUACUUCUAUCUGACUUUAGGAAAUACUGAAGAAAUACACUUAGAUGUUGAAUUUGCACAAUGUUAGAAGA
rnacentral:sRNA from 1 species